CAGCCGCCGCGGGAAUACGUAGGGUGCGAGCGUUAAUCGGAAUUACUGGGCGUAAAGCGUGCGCAGGCGGUUCGUUAAGACAGAUGUGAAAUCCCCGGGCUUAACCUGGGAACUGCAUUUGUGACUGGCGAGCUAGAGUAUGGCAGAGGGGGGUAGAAUUCCACGUGUAGCAGUGAAAUGCGUAGAGAUGUGGAGGAAUACCGAAGGCGAAGGCAGCCCCCUGGGCCAAUACUGACGCUCAUGCACGAAAGCGUGGGGAGCAAACAGGAUUAGAUACCCCGGUAGUCCCUGUCUCUUAUAC
rnacentral:rRNA from 1 species